UUAGGUGGUAAUAGCAGUGGGGUCCCACCUCUUCCCAUUCCGAACAGAGAAGUUAAGCCCAUUCACGCCGAUGGUACUGCAUUUAGUUGUGGGAGAGUAGGUAGCCGCCUCUUC
rnacentral:rRNA from 1 species